rnacentral:rRNA from 1 species
GGCGUAAGAGCUCGUAGGCGGUUUGUCGCGUCGUUCGUGAAAACUCCACGCUUAACGUGGAGCGUGCGGGCGAUACGGGCAGACUUGAGUUCGGUAGGGGAGACUGGAAUUCCUGGUGUAGCGGUGAAAUGCGCAGAUAUCAGGAGGAACACCGGUGGCGAAGGCGGGUCUCUGGGCCGAUACUGACGCUGAGGAGCGAAAGCGUGGGGAGCGAACAGGAUUAGAUACCCUGGUAGUCCACGCUGUAAACGUUGGGCGCUAGGUGUGGGCGACAUCCACGUUGUCCGUGCCGUAACUAACGCAUUAAGCGCCCCGCCUGG